rnacentral:rRNA from 1 species
UACGUAGGGUGCGAGCGUUGCCCGGAUUUAUUGGGCGUAAAGGGCGCGUAGGCGGCUCGGCACGUCCGUUGUGAAAUCGCCCGGCUCAACUGGGCGGGGUCAGCGGAUACGGUCGAGCUUGAGCAAGCUAGGGGGUAAUGGAAUUCCCGGUGUAGUGGUGGAAUGCGUAGGUAUCGGGAGGAACACCAGCGGCGAAGGCGGUUACCUGGGGCUUUGCUGACGCUGAUGCGCGAAAGCGUGGGGAGCGAUCCGG